CAAGUAAGUCAGGCAACCGCGGGGGAGCGGCGAAAGCCGCCCUUUGAGGAAAGUCCGGGCUCCACAGGGCAGGAUAACGGGUAACACCCGCCGUCGGCGACGACAGGACAAGUGCAACAGAAAUAGACUACCGGCAGCAAUGCCGGCAAAGGUGGAAAGGCGAGGUAAAAGCUCACCCGUAGCCGCGGAGACGCGGCUAUGCUGUAAACUCUAUCCGGAGCAACACCGUGUAGGAGCUGCAUUAGAUUGCGAGGUUUGCCCGACCGUUCCGAGAGGUGGCAUUGAGGUGCUUGGCAACAGACACCCCAGAUAGAUGGUUGCUCAACGACAGAAUCCGGCUUAUCGAUUUGCUUGCAAA
rnacentral:RNase_P_RNA from 1 species